rnacentral:tRNA from 1 species
CUGAUUGAUGAAAAAAUUUUGAAAAUUUUUUUAUGGAUUGUUUCCUAUUCAGUG